UACGGAGGGGGGUUAGCGUUGUUCGGAAUUACUGGGCGUAAAAGCGCACGUAGGCGGACUAUUAAGUCAAGGGUGAAAAUCCCGGGGGCUCAACCCCCGGAACUGCCUUCGAUACUGGUAGUCUUGAGUUCGAGAGAGGUGAGUGGAAUUCCGAGUGUAGAGGUGAAAUUCGUAGAUAUUCGGAGGAACACCAGUGGCGAAGGCGGCUCACUGGCUCGAUACUGACGCUGAGGUGCGAAAGUGUGGGGAGCAAACAGGAUUAGAUACCCCUGUAGUCC
rnacentral:rRNA from 1 species